rnacentral:lncRNA from 1 species
CACAAGGAAGGCUCAACUCUCAAGGCCACAGCUUUAAGCUUGGCUACUUGACGGAGGAAGAAUUUGAGAAGUGGGUUAGACCUGAAGACAUGCUGGGACCCAAGUAGAAGAUGGGAGUAACAGCUCAAGUAGCAAAUAUUCUGGUAUUUGAAUGAUCUGCACAUUCAGCAAAGAGCCUUAAAAGAGAUGUUGAUGGAUCAAGACAGGGAACAUUGAAGGUUGAUGUUACAAGAACAUAUAUACAUGGUUGCAUAUAGCUUUUUUGUAAAUUUGCUCAUCUUAAAACUGUUCAGUAAAGGAUUUUUAUGUGAAUGACAGGUUUUAUAAUGUUCAAAACUGUAUCAAUUGUUUUUAUAAUACAUCUAAAUUGUUGAGGUUGUAACAGCAACAUCUUUUGACUCCAAGAAAUCUGCGGUGGUGUAUAUAGGAUGUCUUUAUAAUGAUAUUGGAGUAUAAAACCCUAUUUUGUUGCAUAAAUAAUAAAUAAGAAAAAAUG